CAGAACGAACGCUGGCGGCAAGCUUAACACAUGCAAGUCGAACGGAUUGUUAUCAUAGCUUGCUAUGAUAACAAUUAGUGGCAGACGGGUGAGUAAUGCAUAGGAAUCUACCUAGUAGUAUGGGAUAGCCACUAGAAAUGGUGGGUAAUACUGUAUAAUCCCUGCGGGGGAAAGAUUUAUCGCUAUUAGAUGAGCCUAUGUUAGAUUAGCUAGUUGGUAGGGUAAAGGCCUACCAAGGCAGUGAUCUAUAGCUGGUCUGAGAGGAUGAUCAGCCACACUGGAACUGAGAUACGGUCCAGRCUCCUACGGGAGGCAGCAGUGGGGAAUAUUGGACRAUGGGCGCAAGCCUGAUCCAGCUAUGCCGCG
rnacentral:rRNA from 1 species